rnacentral:rRNA from 1 species
CCUACGGGCGGCUGCAGUGGGGAAUAUUGGACAAUGGGGGGAACCCUGAUCCAGCCAUGCCGCGUGUGUGAAGAAGGCCCUCGGGUUGUAAAGCACUUUCAGUGAGGAAGGACGCCUGGUGGUUAAUACCCAUCAGGAAAGACAUCACUCACAGAAGAAGCACCGGCUAACUCCGUGCCAGCAGCCGCGGUAAUACGGAGGGUGCGAGCGUUAAUCGGAAUUACUGGGCGUAAAGCGCGCGUAGGUGGCUUGAUAAGCCGGUUGUGAAAGCCCCGGGCUCAACCUGGGAACGGCAUCCGGAACUGUCAAGCUAGAGUGCAGGAGAGGAAGGUAGAAUUCCCGGUGUAGCGGUGAAAUGCGUAGAGAUCGGGAGGAAUACCAGUGGCGAAGGCGGCCUUCUGGACUGACACUGACACUGAGGUGCGAAAGCGUGGGUAGCAAACAGGAUUAGAUACCCCAGUAGUC